UUUCCCAGCUAUGGCUUUAUGGUUUUUUUAUCAUAAGCUUAUGAAUUUACGGUAAGGUAUUUUAUACUUCUGUAAGAUAUGUACUUCUAUUUCUUUUAGGAGAAGGAGAACUGUCUAUAAGCACACCUGAAUACAACAAAGAUUAUGCGUUCAAGGUCAGGGCCUUAGUACUCAAGGAAAAGCAGAUCUAAUGUUGGCCAACACACCUUAAUUAAUCUAAUGUUUUCUCCCCUUUUUCCUGGCUCUCUCAAAACUAUGGCAGAAUCUUGAGUGAAAUCCCCACAGACAAGUGUUUGUUUCCAACCAGAUCCAUUCUCAUUCAGUUCAAGAAGUACACACAAGGAAGGUAACAUGAAUCAUGUAAAGAAGACAGAAUUAAAGAGGGGAGGGAAGAGAUGCAACUAUCACGGUCUUGUGUUGCCACCUUCUAUUCUGAUUUCAGGGGGAAGCCAGGGCAAUUUCAGACCCACCUGGAGACAGGAUCCCUUGUGCUCAGACAUGCUGACUUGUGAUAGGUUCUAUUUUGGUGUCUGAAAGAAUUUCAAGGAGCAAACAAAGAGACCAGAAGGAUCCUGUGACUCAAAACCAACAGAACUUGCUUCAGACUCUUCUUUGAGGGACACAGCAGAAUCGCUUCAGGCAGCUACCACCAUCCACACUGCUGCAAUUGAUGCCAUAUGCCAGAGCCUCUGUGUGCACAGCCUCUUGCAAAGGACAGAAGAGAUCACAGUUUUGGGAAGCCCAGAUAUAAAGAGCAGAAGAUAGGUAGACUGGUGGCAGAUCACAGGUCUAGUUUUUGUGUUGCAUGCAUUAGCUUAAGGUUAAGCUCUGGGUGCAAGCCAUUCUGUCAUGUGAAUUUCUUCACAACUCUUGGGAUUUUGGAAAAAGUUGAAGCCAACCUAGCGACAAGACAAGCAACUGAAACUUUACAAUAUUUAACUUGGCCAGAGAGGAAUUCUCCACUGAUUUUCUGGCUACUUCAUUGGCCCAAGUAAAAGCCUCCUAGGAGACCUUCCCAGAUAGUGAGCAGAAGUACCUUCUCAAACAACACUACACUCGGUUUUAAAAGAUAGAGAAAAUGAAAAUAAGAAAUAAUCCCCAAAGCUUACAGCAGCACUGCACUUUCUUUCCAUCCCAUGCAGAGAUGACGGUUCAGUUACCACUUCCCUCUGCUGCACUCUUUGCAGCGCUCACCUUGGAAAGGGGAAGAGAGACAUGGCAGAGAACCAAGGUGAAUUUGGAAGCAUGACACAGGGAGAUGGGUGAGAACUAACAGGAGGGAGGGGACUGGAGAUGCAUACAUGGAUUCUUAGUCACUGGGGUGGGCAGAACUGAGGCGGGGGAAGACUGAUAUUUGGUCUGCAGGCAAGAGUGAUGUGGAAGUUGUGGAAGAGAAGUAAAUGCGUGGAAGGAGGCACAAAGGUGUGAGGGGGGAGGCAUCUGAAGCACUUCUCAAUAAACAAGAGUGUCUGGAUAUUUGUUACAAAGACAUACCGAAUAUGGUCAAAAGGGAGACUCAAAACUUGAAAGUCAAGUUGAAAUCCACUGUGUAAGACUUAAAUAGCAUAUAAAUAACAAAAAUCAGAUGCCUAGAAAAGAGAAUUACAGUGGGAGCAGCACAAAGUGAUGCUUUCCCAAAAUACACUUCCAACCAGACUUCCUGAGCCAGAGGUGAUACCCUUGCGUUAAAAAAGAAGUCCCUCAGUAGUUUUCCCUUCUAUCAGUUUGUCUGGUCUCACCUUGAUCCUGUCUGCAUUUUCAGCAUCAUCCUGUGGCUGGGAGCAUAUCUUUGCUUCAGCUGUCCUUACCUAACACUCUUUCCGAGCACUAUUAGGAACAAGGACAGCAUCACGUACAUGAUCAGGUACUGGGUCAAGGCCACUUGAGCAAACAGAAUACUCUCUCCAAAGAUGACAAGGUGCAGGAGCAUGGAGGUACCUGGGACAUGGUCAAAAGACAAGGCCAGUCUUUCCAUUGACUCUGUCUUCAUUUCAGGUCUGGAUCCUAAAGGAGACAGAGUUAUUUGCUGCUGUCUUAAGUUAUGAUUUGUUUAAAAGUAUCCCAUCUGUUCAGAGAUCAGCACAAAAAGGCAAAACACAACCAACUGUGACAAAAUAUAUAAAACAGCAUGAGCUGCCUACGGAAAAAUGAAAACAGUCCAAAAUAAUAGAGACCAAUGUGAAUCAUGACCAAUAAGCAUAUUUUUUACAAUAAACAUGUCAUCAGUGUCAGACAAACAAAUCACAAAUAUUUAUUAAGAUAAGAAACAGAUUAUUAAUAGACAUCCCAAUUUCAAAUGAUGUCCUUCAGUCCUAGUAGAUAGGAAUUAGCAGCCAAGUCUGCCAGAAUGAAUCUGGCACUCUCACAGAGGUCAUCAUACCUAACAAAUUUAAAAAUGAAGAGAGUACAAAGAAGGAGAAUGUAGACAAGUGGGUGUUUUUUUUCUCUCCUACUAGUCUGACAUAGUUUAGAGGGAUCAGGCUGCAUCAGUGCUACUAAAGAUGAUAUAAGCAUGGCGAUAACAACAAAAAACUACAGGCAGAGUUGUGGGAGAUGCUUCCCCGGUAGCUGCAGUUCUGACCCUAAUCCCAUAAGCUGCUCCAGGCAAGCAGGUGCAUGAGGCCUCAUUUUGAAAUCAGUGGGUUCAAGCCAAGCACAAAAAUCUGUCAGGUCAGAGCAUCAGUCUGCAGUUUCCAUUUACCUCCUUUUGCCAUUCUUUCAGAUGCAGAUAAUGCUGAUAUGGUGUGAGUUGUGACAUUAUAAAAAUAUAGAAGAAUAUAACAGUAUUUAUUCUUCCACUCUGGUGGCUGCAGAAUGAAGCCUGUCAGUUAAAAAGUGAACCAAAGUUAAUUUUCAGGAGGAGCUAAAUAAAACCAGUUGUUUCUUAAUGCAAACCUGGCA